rnacentral:misc_RNA from 1 species
GUGAAUCAUCAAAUUUUUGAACGCAAAUUGCACUCUCUUCGGAGAGUAUGCCUGUUUGAGGGUCAGCCUAAAAAAAAACGACGUAGUCGCUGUUUCGCGGUGACAUUCGGCGGAAAUUGGGUUAUCUUAAACCUUUGGGUUUUUUUAGUGGCUUAAAAUUUUCUUUACGUUUCCACGAACGUUUCCUAGAUUUUUCUUCUUACACACGUUUAAGGUAUCGAUCUUUUUUUGGCGUGG